AUCAACGAGAGUUUGAUCCUGGCUCAGAAUCAACGCUGGCGGCGUGCCUCAGACAUGCAAGUCGAACGAUUAAGACUUCCUUCGGGAAGUGCAUAAAGUGGCGCACGGGUGAGUAACACGUAAGUAAUCUACCCUCGAGUGGGGAAUAACGUUCGGAAACGGACGCUAAUACCGCAUAACGCAGCGGCACCGCAAGGUGACAGUUGUUAAAGGAGCAAUCCGCUUGAGGAGGAGCUUGCGGCAGAUUAGCUAGUUGGUAAGGUAAUGGCUUACCAAGGCUACGAUCUGUAUCCGGUCUAAGAGGACGGUCGGACACACUGACACUGAAUAACGGGUCAGACUCCUACGGGAGGCAGCAGUCGGGAAUUUUGGGCAAUGGGCGAAAGCCUGACCCAGCAACGCCGCGU
rnacentral:rRNA from 1 species